rnacentral:lncRNA from 10 species
ACGGUGCGCUGCACCCACUGACCUGCGCCCACUGUCUGGCACUCCCUAGUGAGAUGAACCCGGUACCUCAGAUGGAAAUGCAGAAAUCACCCAUCUUCUGCGUCGCUCACGCUGGAAGCUGUAGACCGGAGCUGUUCCUAUUCGGCCAUCUUCACUCCUCCCCCUGUUGCACCAGCCACAACGGGACCACUGCCUUCAGCUCCUCGGGAUGUCGUGGCCUCCCUGGUCUCUACCCGCUUCAUCAAAUUGACGUGGCGGACACCUGCAUCAGAUCCUCACGGAGACAACCUUACCUACUCUGUGUUCUACACCAAGGAAGGGAUUGCUAGGGAACGUGUUGAGAAUACCAGUCACCCAGGAGAGAUGCAAGUAACCAUUCAAAACCUAAUGCCAGCGACCGUGUACAUCUUUAGAGUUAUGGCUCAAAAUAAGCAUGGCUCAGGAGAGAGUUCAGCUCCACUGCGAGUA